rnacentral:misc_RNA from 1 species
UUUAUAAUAAUAUUUAUAAAUUUUAUAUUUUUAUUUUAAAUUCAGAUUAAAUUUAAAUAAAAAUUUUCAAUUAAAUCCUAAUCCCUGUUACCAGAUAAUGAAAUUAGACAAAAGCGCUCAAUUAAUUUUGCAUUAAGAAGAAAAAAUUAUUAAUCUAAAAUCAAGGGCUUAAUAUGUUGUGCUUGUGAUGGAUGGUUUGUACAUCUG